AACAAUCAGGUGAUACACCCCACAACCUACACACAGACAACCAGGUGAAACUAUGUAUCAAUGAACAGUGACAGAACUCUACAAAGGGGAGGUUGGCUUUCAGCAGCAGUCAUCAUUGUUUGCUUCUUUUCAAAAGAUCUUGGCACAAGAGGGCUGCAGUAAACUUCAGGAAUAUUACAGUGCAGUGUCCUCUGUGCACCAACAGCUCUGUGCAGCCCCUGAUGCAUCUCACUACAUGUAUCUGAAGAGUAACGUGAGCUCCUUGAGGCUGAGGCUGCACUCAGAAAUCCCCACAACAUUAAAAGCUUCUUAUCUGUACCAGUGUCUGCAGUGAUCAAUUUAGGAGACAGUUUGGAAAGCUUGGAAAAGAUACACAAAGUGAUAAUGACUUUUGUGGAAACACCUUCGGAUCAGUUGCCAGGGACAUUUGAUGUGGGCAAAGCAGAGCAUCUGUCCAUCACAUUCAGAUAUCUUCAAGAAAAAGCUAUUUUUGUGAAGUCAUGCAAAGAAAUUAUUAGCAAAGUAUCAUGGUUUGGAAUCGAGCACCUUCUUUAUGAUGCCUCUAAGGUUCUUGUAUGGCAAGACAUGAGUCAUGGUGCACCAAGUGAGGUCCUCAAGACAUAUAAUAAUUCAAACCCGCAGAUUAUUGUUGGGGUGACAGAGUCAGGUGUUACUCUUGUAAACAAAGUGGAACAGCCCCCUCCAUCCAUGGAUGGAGCAGAGACCCCAACAAAACAAACAAGUAAAGCUGUUCAGAAACAAAAAGGUUUGCAGUUAUGGACAUCCUCACAACCCAGUGUUGCAAAGAGUGUAAAGGCUGACAAUGGUGUGGCUUAUAAAAUGGCUAAAAGGAGAGUGGAUCCAGGGCAUUGGGGAAUGGUUGAGAGCACUGCUGCAGACUGGAAUGCCUCUCACUUAGUCCCACCUUCACCUUCGACAUCUCAUGCACACUCUGAAAUAAAUUAUUUUAAUCUGUCUAAUAGACAAGCAACUUUAUCACAUUCUGAUGAGAGGAGAUAUAUAGCAGACAUACAAAGACCUCAACAGCCUUCAGUCUCGGCUCCCCAAGCAACUUUACGAGGAGAUUCUUGUGUUACACAUCUAACAUGUGACAGUGUUAAAUACCAACAAACUAACACUGCACCACAUUCUCCUGUGCUGUCACAAGAUCAAGUAAACCAGUUCAGGUUAGCCAUGACACAACCUAAUAGUUUACCAAAUUGCCAUUUGAAUGAAAAUUUGAUGCCGCGGCCUUUCUCGGUUCAGGCUUUGACGCAUGUCCCUAUGCCCAGCACAAUUACAGCAAUUCAUUACCCCUACUUCCUUCUAAAUGGACAAACAUACACCACUGGCUCCACUGCAGCCAUUUACCCUGAUACUAGAUAUUAUCCUAACACCAUUUAG
rnacentral:lncRNA from 1 species